rnacentral:lncRNA from 7 species
GAGUUAUUCUGCAUGUUAGUUGACUGUGUGACAGAAUUGCUUUUUGAGCAUGGCUGUCUCUUGAAGUUAUGCCUGAGCGGAGUUUCCUUGCAGCAUGAUGUUACGAUGCCUUGCUGAAUAUGAUCCUCAGGAGAAGCUUGAGGAGUCCUAGAGUGUAUUGGCACCAAACAGCUGUUCCUCAUGGCUGCAUCAGCCCACAAGGCAAAGUGAAGUGGAUAAAACUUUCUUGCAUGUGUGUGCUUCCUGUGCUUCCAGCUGUAUUUGUAGGCACUUGAGAAGAUGCUUCAGAAUUCCUUAUUAAUUUCAGAAAAAUAAUGUGUUUAACUCUGAAAUGUAGCUGCUUCUCUUUGAAAACUGCCAUCUUCAGGUCCAGCUUUUCUAGAAUGGAUUUAACCUCUUCCCACUGUGCAGAAAAAUACUGUAAAAUCUGGGCAGUUCAAAAGGCGUGACAGAACUCCAGCCUGUUUUGCAAGAACCAAAAUCUCUUAAGAAAGCAAGCAACAAAUGUUUCUUGAAAAAAAAAAAAAAGAAGCAAAUUGCAAGGCUUUUUCACUCUCUUACUGUUGUAUCUUGGAACAGUUUAAUUCAAAUGCUUCCUGAGAGAUGUAUCACAAGCAGCUGGCACUUCUGACUUAUUCUUAGUGUACUAUAAAAAAAAAAAAGUAUUCUGAGAACUCUACAAUUCACAGGUUGUCAUUUUUAAAAUACACCAGGCCUAGUUAGUCUUACAUCACCUUUAUAUCGCUCCUGAGGUUGCUGUACUGUAGUGUGGGCUUGGAAAACUGGAAACAUGGCUGCUUUAUGGAACUUGUGGCAUAAAAACAUAUCGUGCUUGUGCUCCAAACGCCUUCUAUUGGUACUUUAUGAAUUGAAAAAAUGAAAGACCAAAUGGAGGAACUAUAGAAGCUGUGGAGGAUAAUGCUGAAUGCUGUGAGCAAUGGAGAAGAGGUCCAUCCAGUAGCAUGGCUGAUCUGCAGCUGGUGCCAAGAUGUCUGCUGCCAGCUGCAUCCCUGGUACCUGGAGAUCUCACUCAAUGCACCCCAGCCUGACUAAAAAUACUCAAAUGCAGCCUUGUCCUUAUCAACCACAGAGCAGUAGCCAUGCUAGAGGUACUUCUGAUUGGGAUUCUUUCCAGGCCCUGCAAACAAAAUAAGAGGGAAACAAAACAAGUUGUCAUCAGUAGAAUGCUAAUUGAGCUAAACAGAGGAAUACUGUUUUGGCGAAUACAUAUAUUUUUUAAUUUUUGCUAUAUAGAGACAGGUAUAUGUAUGUAUAUGUAUAUCUAUCUAUAUAUAUUUGGAUGUAUAAAGAUGGGCAUUAGCAGAACCUUGUCAUGCUCACGGGAAAUACGCCUUUAUGUUUGGAGCAUAGAAUAUGAAAAUUAUCUCUGUGAAGUCAGCCACUAUUAAAACUUGGUAUUUUUCAUAAAAGCCUGAUCAAAAACAUAUGCAGUUAUAACCAAAACCCCAUAACUUACUUUGAAAUUUAGAAAUGUCCUUCAUCUUCUUUUCCUGGCAGAAAGCAUUUAACACAGUAAGGAAAUUUAAGUGUUGGAAACUUCUCAAGUUAAAUUAAAGAUUAAAACAUUUGGGGUGCCAGGGAAUUGAAGGAGUAGAAAUGGAUUGGAGCUGUAGAUAUAUAUUGAUACUAACGUGAAGGCAAAAAAUCCCAAAUGAGUGAAAGAAGCCAAGGUUGUCUUUUACAUUUUCAACAUAUUUAUUUGUCUAUCGCAUCUAUUGUAUAUCUGUCUGUCCUAUUAUCAUUAUUAUCUUUUAUUUAAAACAAAAGUAACAGAAUGUACACGUU